GUGUGUGUGUGUGUGUGUGUGUGUGUGUGUGUGUGUGUGUGCGCUGGGUUACUCUCAGAAGUAUGUACCUUUUAGCCACAGGCUACAC